UACUGUGUAGCCUAAAAGCUAAGGUAUCUUAGUUUGGGUCAGAAGACUGAGGGUUUGAGUCCCUUUGCAGUUG
rnacentral:tRNA from 1 species